UCUUUAAUCACCAUAAAGAAUCUAGCACUUAGUAUUCUAAUGAAAGAAAUGAAUGUUAGUUGUACUCAGAAAAUUAGGAUCUUAGAAAUUAAGACUCUAAAGAAUAUGAAGAUGGUAAAGCAAGUGGGUCCGAUUGGAUCCUUAUUGAAGUUUGGAAAUGUCUUCAAGUGAUAGGACUUGGGAGUAGUGUGGUUGGCUAAAUUGUCUAAUAGAUUUUGAUAUCAAAGAAUAUGCCAAAGGUGUAGAGGAGUGCCUAAGUCCUUAUAUAAGGGAGAUUUCCAAGGUUGCUCAAGCUAUAGAAG
rnacentral:misc_RNA from 1 species